GAACCGUACCGCAAACCGACACAGGUGGGCAGGAUGAGAAUUCUAAGGCGCUUGAGAGAACUCAGGAGAAGGAACUCGGCAAAUUGAUACCGUAACUUCGGGAGAAGGUAUGCCCUCUAAGGUUAAGGACUUGCUCCGUAAGCCCCGGAGGGUCGCAGAGAAUAGGUGGCUGCGACUGUUUAUUAAAAACACAGCACUCUGCUAACACGAAAGUGGACGUAUAGGGUGUGACGCCUGCCCGGUGCUGGAAGGUUAAUUGAAGAUGUGCAAGCAUCGGAUCGAAGCCCCAGUAAACGGCGGCCGUAACUAUAACGGUCCUAAGGUAGCGAAAUUCCUUGUCGGGUAAGUUCCGACCCGCACGAAUGGCGUAACGAUGGCCACACUGUCUCCUCCUGAGACUCAGCGAAGUUGAAGUGGUUGUGAAGAUGCAAUCUACCCGCUGCUAGACGGAAAGACCCCGUGAACCUUUACUGUAGCUUUGCAUUGGACUUUGAAGUCACUUGUGUAGGAUAGGUGGGAGGCUUUGAAGCAGAGACGCCAGUCUCUGUGGAGCCGUCCUUGAAAUACCACCCUGGUGUCUUUGAGGUUCUAACCCAGACCCGUAAUCCGGGUCGGGGACCGUGCAUGGUAGGCAGUUUGACUGGGGCGGUCUCCUCCCAAAGAGUAACGGAGGAGUUCGAAGGUUACCUAGGUCCGGUCGGAAAUCGGACUGAUAGUGCAAUGGCAAAAGGUAGCUUAACUGCGAGACCGACAAGUCGAGCAGGUGCGAAAGCAGGACAUAGUGAUCCGGUGGUUCUGUAUGGAAGGGCCAUCGCUCAACGGAUAAAAGGUACUCCGGGGAUAACAGGCUGAUUCCGCCCAAGAGUUCAUAUCGACGGCGGAGUUUGGCACCUCGAUGUCGGCUCAUCACAUCCUGGGGCUGUAGUCGGUCCCAAGGGUAUGGCUGUUCGCCAUUUAAAGUGGUACGUGAGCUGGGUUUAAAACGUCGUGAGACAGUUUGGUCCCUAUCUGCAGUGGGCGUUGGAAGUUUGACGGGGGCUGCUCCUAGUACGAGAGGACCGGAGUGGACGAACCUCUGGUGUACCGGUUGUAACGCCAGUUGCAUAGCCGGGUAGCUAAGUUCGGAAGAGAUAAGCGCUGAAAGCAUCUAAGCGCGAAACUCGCCUGAAGAUGAGACUUCCCUUGUGGUUUAACCACACUAAAGAGUCGUUCGAGACCAGGACGUUGAUAGGUGGGGUGUGGAAGCGCGGUAACGCGUGAAGCUAACCCAUACUAAUUGCUCGUGAGGCUUGACUCUAU
rnacentral:rRNA from 1 species